GCCAUAGCUCAGUCAUAGAGCAUCAUCCUUGCAAACAGAAGGUCCCGGUUUCAAUCCCCAGUAUCUCCA